GAUGUGUGCCCGAAACUCAGGGCUUACCUUGAUGGGGUAAAAUAUAGGGCUUCAACCCCCUCAC
rnacentral:tRNA from 1 species